rnacentral:rRNA from 1 species
GUAGGGUGCGAGCGUUAAUCGGAAUUACUGGGCGUAAAGCGUGCGCAGGCGGUUUGUUAAGACAGGCGUGAAAUCCCCGGGCUCAACCUGGGAACUGCGCUUGUGACUGGCAGGCUAGAGUACGGCAGAGGGGGGUGGAAUUCCACGUGUAGCAGUGAAAUGCGUAGAGAUGUGGAGGAACACCAAUGGCGAAGGCAGCCCCCUGGGUCGAUACUGACGCUCAUGCACGAAAGCGUGGGUAGCAAACAGGAUUAGAUACCCUGGUAGUCCACGCCCUAAACGAUGUCAACUAGGUGUUGGGAGGGUAAAACCUUUUAGUACCGGAGCUAACGCGUGAAGUUGACCGCCUGGGGAGUACGGCCGCAAGGUUA